CGAUUGUUAAGGUUAAGCGGUCGGUAGUCCCGCAUUGGCAAGGAGCGGACGAGUGGCGGGCCUCCGUCCCUCACCAGCAGAGGUGAGCCUCGAACCUGGCGUGUCCGGCCCUGCUCGAGACUCCGGUCUCGAACUCGGCUUCAUGUCCAGGCCAGCCUGGGGCUCCAGCCUCGUACCCUUCGUGCACGUGGACGGCCGUGCCCUGCCUGCUUCGCGUGGGAUUCGUUCUCUAGAAUGAUUUUUUUUUUAGCAUAAAAUAUAAUUUAUUAUGUAUACGUAUGAUGUACGUGCAUGCACCUGCCACAGCGCGGGCGAAUCAGGUCCCUACUUCGCCUUUUACGAGGGGUCCAGGGACGAGAACUCGGGCUUGCCGGACACUUUGAUCCCAGGCAGCACACAAGGACAUAGACAAGGAAUGCUUUAAGGCGCAGCUGCUCUGAAAGUCAGUCUGUGCCCUCAGCAGCAGAGAGUCUAUUAACUUGCCUCCAGAAUUGGCAAGCUUUUAUUCAUGCUUGCAUUGCCGUAAGUAGUUGUACUUUAAAAGAUAAAAUAAAUAUAAAUAAAGGCUGGCAGAUUUA